AGUGAGCGCUGGCGGUAGGCCUAACACAUGCAAGUCGAACGGCAGCACAGUAAGAGCUUGCUCUUACGGGUGGCGAGUGGCGGACGGGUGAGGAAUACAUCGGAAUCUACUUUUUCGUGGGGGAUAACGUAGGGAAACUUACGCUAAUACCGCAUACGACCUACGGGUUAAAGCAGGGGAUCUUCGGACCUUGCGCGAUUCAAUUAGCCGAUGUCGGAUUAGCUAGUUGGCGGGGUAAAGGCCCACCAAGGCGACGAUCCGUAGCUGGUCUGAGAGGAUGAUCAGACACACUGGAACUGAGACACGGUCCAGACUCCUACGGGAGGCAGCAGUGGGGAAUAUUGGACAAUGGGCGCAGGCCUGAUCCAGCCAUACCGCGUGGGUGAAGAAGGCCUUCGGGUUGUAAAGCCCUUUUGUUGGGAAAGAAAAGCAGCAGGUUAAUACCCCGCUGUUCUGACGGUACCCAAAGAAUAAGCACCGGCUAACUUCGUG
rnacentral:rRNA from 1 species